UUUCCCGCACAGCCAACAGGAUGGCCAACAGCUCGACUCCAUUCUGACACUAACUACCCGGAGUUACCGUCAGAUUCCACGGGUUCCUGUGCUCGGUCCCACAAGAUGACCCCACUUCAGAGGCCAGCCACCAGUCAUGGGGGCCAUUCAGACUUCUGACAGCCUGGCUGUGUAGCUUUUGGCCCGGCCGGGUAGCUCAGUUGGUUAGAGCAUUGACUGGAUACUCCAGGUCAUGGGUGCCACCCCCAAUCAGGGGACAUACCCAGAAGCAAGCAGUGAAUGCACAGGAGCCCAGCGUGUGGUUCAAAAUCGCGCGGCGCUGCCCACCCUCGAGUCGCCGGUCCGGCCCUG